UAUAUGGGAGCCUUCUGGGAGGCUGCUAAGAAUUCUACAGAUAGGGUGUCCUGAGAGACCAAAGGAAUCAAAGGGACACUGGGGAGAGUGUGUGCCUAUAUAUACACGUGUACACAUGUAUAUAGGCAAGACCGGAAGCCUAGGGUACUAGAAGAUGCUCUAAGCAUUAGCAGAACGCGUAACCGAGUCACUGUUACCCACAGGAUGUAUUUCUGCAGCAUAAAUGAGAUGUAUGGAUGUGUGGCCCUUGGAGUGAAGACGCGGCCGUUAUUAUUUAAAGACAGCCUUUCUGCAGUGAGACUGUUUACCUCGUGAUCCACACAUUCUGUUUUCUGGGAGCACAGUGAAGAGUCAGCGUGACUUCCUCUCCCGGAUGUGUGUUUGAGUGUGAGUGGGCGUGCAUCUGCCUGGAGCAAGAGCUCCUUCCCGUGGGCACGAGCGUCAGAGUCCAGUAAAUCUGUAAAGAGUUGUAUAACCUUUGCCCUAUUUCCAUUACCAUUCUGCCAAACGUUUUACAGGCUGGAUUUAUCAUCGUGCUUGAGCAAAACCCAAGUAUUGCUGCUGCACGUCAUCAUCAACGUGUUUUUGUUUUUAAACCCAGAGGGACAUAGGAGGCCAGAGAGAAUCCGAGCCUGAUUCUUGUGAGCUGGAUGUGUUAAUCUGCAUAACUAAAGGGAGCCAGGUGGCCAGUGGCGCCACAUCCACAGCCCUGACCCACUCAACAAUAACAAAUUGUAUAUAAACUGGUUUCCAUGGUUUAUCUGUCCGCUUUGCAGGUGGCUGAGGAGAUGCGGUUUGUCUCUUGGCUUGUUAAGGGGUGAGAGGUGUCACAUUUACACCCCCCCCAACACAUUAUAGACAAGGGCUUCAUAAAUAUUAGGCUCUUUGUCUGAGAAGGGAAAGCCGAUCCUGACAGGUUGAGAAAUGAUGGCCCUCACUUCGCUAGCUUGCCUGCACGCUCUGUUCCCCUUUGUUUCUCCUGCAAGAAACAUUUCUCUCAAGUGCAUGCAAGAUACUGACGAAUUCCUUUCUGAUCUGAACUCACUGAAGCCCAAAGAAUACGCUCUGAGAAUGUAUGACUCGGUGGGGAAGCUUGGAAGCAACGUUCUUACCGGCAACGUGGACAGGCUGGGAUCCUACAGCGAGUGCCUUUCCACCCGGAGCCCCAAGGGGAGUUUCCGGGGGCAGUACUGCAAGCUUCAUAUCCUUCAGGAUGGAACAGACUAUAGUGUGGGCGUGUGUGUCCCUGAUUCUUGUGCUGAAGAGGACGUGACCAUGAUGUCUCAGCUGGACAAACCAUCUUUCUUUGACCUGUACACACAUCAUGCCUCCUUGGAUUGUAGACACACCAUGUCUCCUUGUCCUACAAAGAUUUCACUCUUCCUUGGUACUCUCAAGUUCAGAAACACGUCAUUCUUGGAACCUUCCCUCUCCCUCUUUACAAAAGACUCUUCCUCAUCUUGUGAAGUUGUGGCCAGAUGUGCAGCUGGGGCCAUGAGUCCAGAUAUGUUUGCUUCCGUGUGCCUGUUCAUCACCUUGCUAGGCCUCGUCCUUCCUGUGGCUGGAACUGUUUACAUGGUGGCCAGGGACUGGGGCUUGGACCUCAGGACAUCGUCUGUACAUGGGACUCCUCCUACCAGUUGUGAGAGUCUGCCUUUGCGAAACAUGGAGAGCAACAGGCAAAGAAGCAGGGCCAGUUGCCAAGUUCAGCUCCCUCCUCCAGGAGCCCCAAGCAGAGGAAGAAGGUUUCUAGGAGCCGUGGAUGAAGUUCUGCAGUGCUUUUCUUGGCAGAAGAACAUGCCAGCCAUCUGCAGCCCAGAACUUCCAGGAGGCACCUGCCGGACACUAAAUGGGAUCCGAGUCCUGAGUCUCCUCUGGGUUAUCUCUGGACACACCAGUCAGAUGACAGCUUGGCUAUCUUUGGAUAAUGUGCUCGAAUGGAAAUCCAGAGUGCCCGAGAACCCACUGUACCUCUACUCUCGGAGUGGCCCAUUCUAUCUCGGGGUGGAUACAUUUUUCCUCAUCAGUGGUUGGCUAAGUGCAAGGUCAUUUCUAAAGAUGCACCAGAACACCAGCACAGGAAUAACUCCUAAAGUCAUCCUCAGAUACUUUCUGAAACGUUUUACAAGGUUGCAGCUCCUUCAUAUGUACUCUGUGUGCUUGCUGGUUGGUUUCUUCUCUUUUGUUCCCUGGGGACCUGUCUGGGAAGUGGCCCAGUUCCACUGGGAUAACUGCCGGGAGGUUUGGUGGACGAAUCUGCUGUUGCUGAAUAACUUCCUGUCUGUCCAGAAUGCCGAGGAGCCGAGCUGCAGACUCUCAACAGCCCCGCACCUGGAGGGGAGGAGUCACAGUUACUUCUCUCCCCUCCCCCGCAGUGCAAUGGCUGGACUUGGUACCUCGCCAGCGACUUCCAGUUCCACCUGACGACACCGCUGAUCUUCUUCGUCCAUGGAAAGUGGGUCUGAGACUUUUCUUUUCCCUCAGGGGUCCUUUGGCCUGGAACUCCCAGCUACACUCCAGUUUUGUAGGAAGCAGCUUUUAAGAAGUUAGCAAAUUAACUUUCCAGAAAUGGAGACGCCACUCCCCUCUCUCCUGCCCUCCUUCCUGUGCCCUCCUUCCUGUGCCCUCUUCCAGACGCACAUGCAUUAGUGCAUCUCCCCAGAUUUAUCACCAGGGUGUGCAACACCCGUGCUCAGCAUUUUCCAUCCCAGCCGUUCACAUAAACAGGUUCACAUAUUGACAUGACACACACACCUGACAGUUUCCUGGAUUUAUAUUCCAUUUUUUUAAUGGUUGGGUAUCUAGACGGUGCCCGAUUUUUCACGAUUAUAAAUGGCCCCGUGAUGACUGCCUUUGAACACUCUACUUUUCCUUGUAGCUGUUUCCACGGGAACAUAUUUCCACAGGGACAUAUUUCUACGUGGAAUUACCAGGUCAAAGGGCGGCAGUGAUUCCUUAGAGCUUGUUACCUGCCGGGAGAUUGCUCCUUGGAAAGCAGGGUGUAAUUUAUAGUGCUCCCAGCAAUGUAUCAAUGUACCUGCUGCCCCACGGCUUGUAUUUAUCGCCUUAAUUUUGUUAGCUUUAGAAACACUUUACAGUCUCAAUAAUUCACGGGGAGAUUUAUAGUGUGCUAUUAUUUUUUUAAGAAAGGUAUUUAUUGUUCUUUCUCAUUAAAAUAUGUGUUCCAUUUAGGAAACAUUAGAAUUAAGAGAAAGGAAAAUAUUCACGCUAGUCUAUCACUCAUGGCAAACUCGGUACAAUGUUAAGGCUCUGGAGCUGGCUUUGCGUCCUUUUUUUUCCCUUGCCCAGUGUUUUAAAGAUGAAAGCAUGCUUGCCUCUCCACAUCUUUUAAAAAUAGUAUUUAAACCCACAUUUUACUAUAUUAUUUUACUAACUGUGAACAAAAUUGUAAUGUCUACCUCACAUCCAAUUUCCUGAAUGAAGUAUAAUUGACUGGUGCCUUCUUCCAUUGCAAUAUACUUAGAUUAUUUCCAGUCUUAUGUUUUCAUAAAUAAGUCCCCACGAAUACUUUUGUGACAACCAUUGGUUGCCAACUUCUGGGUUUCUUCAGAAUGCACAUUCUGGGGGGAAAUUAGUGGGUCAAAGGGCACACAUGUCUUACAGCCCUUGAACGCAAUGGGAAACUACUUUAAAAACAAACAAAAAACCCCAAACACAAGAGUGUCCCACAUUUCUGAGCCAUGGCAGAUCUUCACAGCCCUGAUUCUGCCUGGUUCUCCACUGAGUAUCCAGAUCAGAGUGUCUGACUUAGAGGCUGUGUCCUCAGACCUUUUCCUUGUCACAGAAUCCCACAGUAUGAUAGCUGGGAUUUCUUUAUGUGCCACCUCAGAGUGUACAGGAAUUAGUGUGUGUAACCACCAAUAGAACAGAAGAUACUGGGGAAAUACCUUUUUUUUUCCCCCUACACUCCUCAGAGAGUUCUGAGGCAUAUUACAUAAAGCUAUAGAACGUUCUGGAAGAAUUGAGUGCUGGCCACCUCAACAGCUGAUCUUGUAUUGGCUCUCCCUUCCUUCCCCUCUCCCACACUGUCACAUAAACCUCCCACAGUUAGACAUUUCUCUCAGGUUUGGCUUAUGCUAGCAAGGAGAGCUGGGUUCUCCUCCCAUCUCUAUUGUCCCUCCCCUUCCCUGGAGUGGGUGGCUGUGUCCAAUCUGCGUCCCAUCCUCCCUUAAAUAAAUCAUUUCUCUCUUUAGUCAACCACCACUGAUGUCCUUAUAGUAUUCUGUAGAGGCCAGGCGAUGUUCGCAGGAACGGUCUUCCUUUGAGCCAUAGUGUAAGCUUUUGGGGUGAAAGCAGACAAGGGCACUGUUAGUAUCCCCAUUUAGAAGAGGAACUCAACUUUUAAGUUCCUGUCCACAGUCUCACUGCUGGUCAGUGGUCAAGGUCAGGCAGUCCAGGAACUCCUAGCCAACCCAGUUUUUCAUUCGUGCUGUGAUGGAGACCACUGAAAGGCGUCCCUUCUCUGCCCUCUUUUCUGCAGAAGUAAACGUGUCUUCGUCCUUCUCGGGGGCCUGCUGUUCCUGGCCUCUUCCACAGCCACCACUCUGCUCACCUUGGCUUAUAAACUUCCAGUGGCAUCUCCAGCAGCAGCCAGUGAACAUGGGACUGUGCUCUAUUUCUCAGAGUAUUACACCAAGCCCUACUGCCGCUGUGGCCCCUUCCUUGUGGGCCUCUUCCUGAGCAUGUUCAUGCAUUCAGACCACCCUACAGACAUUCUCAAAACGACGGUGCAGGCCAUGCUGGGCUGGACUUGGUCUCUGCUGACCCUGUUUGCAGUUGUUGCCCUGGCUUAUGUACUGGACGAUACCUCUCCAACCUCUUCCGUAGCUGCUGCCAUCUACCAGGCCCUCCAUCGUACCCUGUGGGCAGCAGCUGUGGGCUGGGUCAUCUUUGCCUGUCAGGAAGGCUAUGGAGGUCCCGUGAAACGCAUGCUUUCUUGGGGCAUCUGGAGUCUCCCGGCCAGCAUAAGCUACGCUUGCUACCUCGUACACCCCAUUGUCAUCAUUCUCUAUAACGGACUGCAGGAGACCCUUAUUCACUACACGGACACCAACAUGCUCUAUCUUUUCUUCGGACACUGUGUGCUGACCUUCCUCGGUGGGCUGGUCCUGACCCUGUUCAUCGAGCGACCCUGGCAGGAACUGAAGUGGGGCCUGUGGGGACCAGAGCCUGCUAGGCCGUGAGCAUUCCAACUGAAACCCAAGAGAACCAUGGGCCCUCUGCUGGUGACAAACAGAGGCAGUGAGCACUGUGGUUCUUGGAACGUGAAUCUGAUUUUGUGAACAUUUACUGUGUACGUUGUAGACAGAUAACCUUUGCUCUCUAGAGAAAGCAAUUCUAUAAUGAAUCUUUUGGUACUUGUACAAUAAUCUCUUUAUCUUGGCUUGGAUUUGAUUUUCUGUAUCAGUAACUGACCAUAGUGUUAAAGUAUUAAAAUGGAGACCAGACCCAAAGCAUAAAAAGGCACACAGUCAUGGUCUUUCUCCUACGUGACCUUAGCUUUGCAUGAUUUGAAAACAAAAAAAGUUUUUUUAAAAAAGAUUUAUUUAUUUAUUAUAUGUGAUAUAAACUACUUUAAAUAGAUUUGUAUAUUAAAGAAAACCAAAACAAACUCAACCAAUCCAUGGCAGCCAAAAUUUUAUAUAACUAGGGACUCUCCAAUGGGAAGAGGCCAAAUAAACAGCUGUGGAGCUGUAACCAAUCACGUUGGCUUGGCGUUUAUGCCUCCCUAAUGAGUUAGUUCCCACCUGAAGUGCCUGGGCCACACAGGGGUUGGAGCUGCCCAGCAACAACUGGUGUUUGCUCAGAUACACUGUAACCCUUUAAGGUGCCUCAGCUGACACUUUAACGUUAAGCAGUUACCUAAUGUAGUACAGGUAUCAUAAUCUAAGUCUUGAAGCUCAUGAGGUUUAUAACGCUGUUAUUCUCACGAAAGUCACGUGACAUAGCUUUCUAUAACAUGCUAUAGUAGUCCCCGUACCUCCAAGUGUUGUCUUUUUAGAGAGAAUGAUUUCCAGGGUCAUUGAGGUCACCGAGGUAAGGAGGCCCCAGGUGAAUGACCCACAGUGUCCUUGUAAAAAGAGACACACACAGAGGGGCGAUGAAAUGCAGACACUGAAUGAAGAUGACCAACCAUCUUCCAUCUCAGGAAGGACCAAACACUUCGGGAAGCUGUGAGAAGCCUAUUUUAGAGCUCUAGAGAAGAUCUACACACACACACACACACACACACACACACACACACACACGACAUCUGGCUGCCAGCAGUGUGAGACAGACAGACAUUUCUGUUGUUUUGAGCCACUUAGUUGUAGUAUUUUGUUAGAGCAUUCCUAGGAAGCUAGAGCGCUCUUCUUACUCUACACCGGGUACAUCUCAGGAGUCCCCCCAUGGAUGGAUGGUGGAAGCUGCGGACUAUCAGCCCCUGUGUGUCCUGUUUUUCUGUAUUCAUUUAUGCUUAUGAUAAAGUGUAACUUGUAAAUUAGGCAAAGGAAGAAAUAAACAACUACUAAUAGUAAAUAACUCACAUUAGAAUGAUUAUAAUAUACUGUGUAACUUUGUAAGCAAUAUACUGCAAUAAAUGUUUUGCGACUGUGGCCCCUCCCCUCUUAAAGAAA